UAAUUUAUUAACUAUUUUCCUUGUAUAUGUUCAAGAAUAUGGCUUGAACGUCUCUACCGGGCUGCCGUAAAUAGCCUGUCUACAAGGGGCAAUGAUUAGUGU
rnacentral:ncRNA from 2 species